rnacentral:lncRNA from 1 species
CUCGGCUCCCAUGAUGCACAUGCAAGCUCUGACUCUCUCCAGGGACUCUGGGAACCCCUGUAGAAAAGUAUUGCACCUCGUCUGGCUGAGACGCUCUCUGAGAAGCCACCUCUCUAUGUCUGUGCUUUGUGGUUUGUUUCUGUGUCCUGCCUGCCCCUCAGUGCGGCUCUGCCAUGGUCCUGCCCUUGUUAGGCCUCUAAUGAGGUCGAGGAGGGCGGCUGUGGCAGGAUGGUGUCGCUGAGCUGCUUCCGUGGACCUGGAGCUCUCAGGCUGGUGCUGUGUGACUCAGUUGCAGAGGGUUUGCAAACUGAGACCACUCCCUCUCCCCAGCGGCUCUUUGUUCACAAUAAAAAAUAACAGUAAUGUUCUGUUGAGGUCCCAGCCAGGAAAGGGAGGCUGUCAGGAGAUGACAGAUGGGUUAGGAAGUUCUGGGAGAAGGGACCAGGGUUUGCAGCUGCAGAUAGGGGUCUGGGGCCAGCCUGGCCUCCUCCUGUCUAGGGUGGGUCCUGCAGUGAGGAGGGCUCAGUGGAUCCUGGAAUGUUGAGAAAGAGGGUGUGGGACAGGGUGGCCCCUGGCCAUGCCUUGUGAGAGUGCCGCUGCCUCCUGGGUGGCUGGGAGCCAGUCAGAGCUAGCUUUAGGGCUCUGAGGCCGGGCCCCAUCCACAGUAGGCAAUUCAUGCAGAGAACCACACCCAGUUGCAUCCCCUCAUCCACUCUAACGUGGCUGUACUGGACCAGGGACUUCUCACCGGGUUCACAGCAGAUUUCAGAUCUGAACAUAACAAAGACUCCAGGAAGUGGGCGUUGUCUUCCGUGCAGCUGAGAGUCUGAAGCUGAGCCCAGGGAGGGCGAGGGAUGGUCCCGAGUCACUGCCUGCAGGGCCAGCCUUGGGAAAUGUCCCAUCAAAGGCCAGACAAGGGGCUGCCCCAGCCACAUCUGUCUACCCGCCCACCCUGGCAACAAGAACGAUGCCAGCUGAGGCGCUGGAGAGGAAGCUGCGUGUCGCCAGCGUGGAGGCCCAUCCGUUGGGAGGGGGUUUCAACCUGGAGGGGUUUGGAGGACGGGGCACGUGCAGGGAGCACGGUACAAAAGCCAGCCUGGUCCGCACUGCUUUCCAUCCGUCAGCGAGGGAAGCCAUCUGUGCUGAACUUUAAGCGUAAAUGUCUCCAAGGAACCGACUUUGAUGUUGAGGAGGGAAAAGCAAAUGUACCUCCAGAUUACUACAGAAAGCCGGGUUCUGGCAAAGAUGACAGCCGUCACUCAGGUGUUUCCUAUCAGGAAAAUAAUCACGAAAGAAGAGAGGACCCAAAGGGGCAGGAGCGAGGGAGGGAAGGGACUGAGCCGAGCUGGGGAACAGUAGGAGAAAGCAGCCCGGGAAGGGUCCUGCGAGGGCUUUCGAGGGAGAACUGGGAAAAGCAGGAACAUGGAGAAGGGGAUUUCAAAGGGGAGGGAGGAAGCCAGAGGAGGGUUCCAGGGAGAAGUUGGGCUCCGCUGGAGAGCGCAGAGCCGGAUCCUCUACAGUGCAGCAGAGGGAAGAAGCGGGCGAGGGAGUUGAGAGCCAAAGGUAAACAGCAGCGUUCCAG